AGGUUAUUUUAAUAUCUAGUCUUGAAAACUAGAGUGCUCAUUAUAUGAGGUAACCUU
rnacentral:tRNA from 1 species